rnacentral:rRNA from 1 species
AUACGAAGGUCCCAAGCGUUAUUCGGAAUCACUGGGCGUAAAGAGUACGUAGGCGGUUUGGUAAGUCAGGUGUGAAAUCCCGGAGCUCAACUCCGGAACUGCAUCCGAUACUGCCAGACUUGAGUAAUGGAGAGGCAGGUGGAAUUCUCGGUGUAGCAGUGAAAUGCGUGGAUAUCGAGAGGAAGACCAAUGGCGAAGGCAGCCUGCUGGACAUUUACUGACGCUGAGGUACGAAGGCUAGGGGAGCGAGAGGGAUUAGAUACCCCAGUAGUCC